GAGGUAAUAGCUCAGUGGUAGAGUGCAUAUCUAGCAUGCAUGAGGUCCUGGGUUCAAUCCCCAGUACCUCC
rnacentral:tRNA from 1 species